ACUAAGAAAAAUAUACUAACAUUUUUUUUUGUGUCCAAUAACACAAAUUCGACCUAUGUGAAUAGCACGUGAGUAGUUUGGGCGUUAGUAGCAAAAACUAACUUAUUCCUUCCCGAUCUAAACUCUACUUUCUUCUUCAAUUACACAAGAACUCUAUUAUGCUUAGAACUCUCCCACUGUUUCUCUCACCAUCUCUGUAACUCUAUAAAUCUGAAUCUCUCACCACUUCUAAUUUCUAUCAAUUUCUAUUUCUUCUCUCCCUUCUUCAUUUCUAUUUGUUCUUCCCUUCAGAUUUGGGAGACUUGGGUUUAGUUGUCGGUUUUGAUUUAGAACAACUUCUGGCUUCUAUCGUCAAUUUUGAGGUAAUUUCUUUCGAAUCUUAAAGAAAAAUGUAAUCUAUAUCGUUACUUUGUUGGUUAAAUUCUGAUGGUGCAAGAAUUUGUUUUUGUAAUUUUAGUUUAUAUUCUGAUCAUUUUAUGAAACCGUAAUUCAUUGCUUUAUAAACCAUAUCUGUGUAAUUUUAGUUCUUAUGUCUUUAUUUUCUUGCAAAAUCCUCUCGUUUCUUAUGCCUUUUUGCUUCUUAGGCCCUUUUUCUUUCGUUGCUCCCCAAUUGCAACAGGUGUUAAUCUCUCUCUCUCUUUCAUUACUCUUGUUAAAAUACAAGAAUUGGGUGUUCAAAAUUGUGAUUUUGCUUUGUUGUUUUUAUUGUUAAUUUGUACGAGGAUGAAUUCAAGAAGAUCAAAUGAUCCGUUUUCUUAUUUUUCUAAUAUUUUUCCAUGUAUGAUUUCAAAUUUUAUUUAUUAAUUUCAAAUUCUUGUGGUAAUUAGUUAUGUACUGCAAGGGAGAUAUAGUCCAUUUGGGUUUGAAUGACAUCCCUAUUUCUGCAUAUCUCAAAACUUUUAACAAAUGAUUGAGUUCUGAGUACUCUCGGAAAAAAAAAAAAAAAAAAGAAGAAGAAGAAGAAGGAGAGCAUCACUUGGAAUACCUGAUUAAUGAUUCUUUUUCUACAAAUGUAUUAAUUACUCCCCGUUUGUAUUUAAUGUAUAGGCUUACGGACUUGUUCUUUAGUUUUUUUGAUAAUAAGUUAUGGUAUGACCAAUAUUCAGUUGUUAAUUCUACUGUAUCCGACGAACUACACACACCAUUAGAGUGCUGGUGGAUCCCAUUUACAUUGUAUGAUGGCAUGUUGUCUGAGUUGUACUUGAAUGUUGAGUCUCUCCAUUAGAAUAUGUUAUGGUUAUUAUCAAUAACAGUUAUAUGCUUAGCAUGGAAUAUGAGUUUGAGUCCUUCUGUGAUUGUCUUUAUGAGUGUUUCUUUAAGAUUUUUUUCAUUCUCGAAGAUCCUUUUGUUUCUUUCUCUCAAUAACCAGUAGGUAGUGGCGUAGACUGUAGCUUGGCAAAUUUCUUUGUGCAGUUGUUGUCCUUUGAAGUGUCUGCAUAUCCAAUUCCAUUCCAUAUGUGCGUCCUCUGACUUGUCAUUGGAGCUCACACCAGUUCAGAAUUUCAGUCCACACCUUCCUUGAAUAUCUCCAAUUAAAGAAUAGGUGUUUAGUAUCUUCACGAAAAUGCAUUCGACUAAAACUUGCACCACCAAUAUUUACAGGUACCAAUACAGGGAGAGCCUGAUUGGACUGCAUAUAGGAGGGUAUCUGUUGAGUGACUCGUACUGGGAACCCUUUGGGUACUUUGUGGUGUUUGUCUGCCUUGUACUCUCUGGGAAACUUCAUACUCCAAGUUACAAAGGACACAAUUAGUUUCAAGUAGCUUGCUCCAUCUCAGUAGUUUAUCCUGUGUCAAACGUGCUUCUUGUACGGCAAGCCAAGUAAUAAACAUAUCUCACCAAAAUCGUUUUUGAGUGUAAUGGUAGAUUACUUUGGUGUUGAAGAGUCAUUCUCUUUCUUAAUUUUAUUGACUAUUUGACACUUAAAUCUUUCUUCACUCAUAACAAGUGAGCAUUGUGCACGUUAGCUAGCUGUCUGUGCUAGUUCUUAUGAGCACAAAGUCAGCCACAGAUACAGUAAUGGGUCCUUAUACUUCAUGCUCAUAUAGAUCUCUUUGAAUGUGCAAGGAGAUUGUGGUGUUCUAUAGGAUAGGGACCUUAUAGCAAUUUAAUAUUUAGAUCUAUAAUUUGAAUCCAUGUAGAUGUAAUGUAGCACAUGACUUAGAUUCAUUGCACUUCAACUCUGUUUCUCUUUAUUUGCAUCUUUCUCUAUAAGUAGGACUAUUCAUUAGUCAUUAGAAUUCCUGAACGUGAAUGGCUACUGUAGUUAUAACGUACAGAGGUAAAAAGCAGUAAAACCUACUAUGUUGGACUCAAUGAAGCUGGUAGGUAUUGGGUCACUACUUCACUUGGGUCACAUUAAUAUGCAGGACUUGUUUGUGUGGAAAUGGAUCACUAUCAUCUUUGUGAUCUUCCCUUCUUGUCAUAAAUUUAGGUGUUCCUUUUUCGUUCUCUUGGAAAAAAUGAUCAUGCAUGUUGUUAAUUUUAGGAUUGUGUUCUUUUUUAAUGUUGCAGGAAAGCUAUGAUCAAUGAAGCAUCAAACUAAUUUCUUAGGGACAGUUCAUAUCUCAGGGUAUUUUUUUUCCGGUGAGUUAUACUUCCAGCAAGUCAUCACACACUAUUUUUUCACUUGUGGUAUGCAUCAUAUGACACUAUAUGUUUACGAAGGACUUAAAAGUGGAGUGAGUAGACAAUUAGGAUACUCUGUGUAAUCUGGCAGCUUCCAUUCACUCUUGUUAUGUAUGUUUUUAUAUUUUUUGAACAACUUGUUUUGUUUAAGAUUUCAUUAUACUUUGUAAUAAUUGUUAUGGUCACAUAAAAAUCUAGCAUAACUGAAUCUGAUCUGAAUUGAAUAAUACUGUUAUUUUCAUAGUAUUUUUGGAAUAUUAAUUCCAAAUAAUUUAUGGCAGAAGUUACAGUAUGAUACAUAUAUGUAAGGACACGAGAACAUAGUAUGGUUUUUUUUCUUCUUAAUCUAUCCCCUUUUUAACUCCGCGAAAGCAAACUUAUGAAAACCAUUGCUUUGCCGGUCCCAAGACCGGAUAAAAUAAGAGGGAAAAGGGUAAUAUUGUUAAAUUAUUUUAUAGUUGAAUUGUAAUACUGUAGUUUAAUUGUAUCAAUAAUUAACUUGAUUUUGUUUAUUACAGAGACUGCACAGGUUACAAGAUACCAACUGAAGUGUUGAAUUUUCCUGCAAGACCUAACUCUUCUUCGAUUUCUUUGUCCUGGGCGAAACCUACCAAUGAUGGUCAAGCUAAUAAGUUAGUAGUGAAUGAUGAAGAAGAGCUUUAUAAGCCUAAAAAACUGUAAGUCUAUAUAUCUCCAUUUGCCGACGCAUUGAGUUCAUUGAUGUAAGCAACAAUCUAAGAAUAUUUCUUCGCCGCACUAGGGCAGGUGGUUUGGGUAUCAAUCUCACUUCAACCGAGACCUAUAUAUAUUGUGUGACAGUGAUUAGGGUAAGCUCUCUCAUGGUCUAAAUCUCUAAACAUCUAUUGCAUCAUCUCCUCAAAACCCUGAAAUGGAUUUGCAUCCCAUGGAUAUUUGCCAAAGGAUAGGCCAAACCCGACCAAUUCGUGUGUAUAGUCAUUAGAGCUUUGUUUACUAUUGUGGAUGUCUUUUGUACUUGUGAAUAUUAUUUCUCGUUUAAAUUUUUUUUGUCAUAUGAACUAAUUAACUUUUCUUUAAUUAGUGUCGCAUAUUAAAGAGAGCUUUCAGUAAGUUGAGGCGUGAGCAUGUAGUGAUUGGGAAAGGCCAGUUCUAGUAGGAGAGAACCAAGUCAAAUUCUUUGAAUGUUCUUGAGGUUUGUGUUCUGUUACCUUCUCGCAUCUUGGUUGCUUUGUUAUGUUGUUAAACCCCUGGUUUGGAUAUCGAAGAACCACCCAAUGUUUUGAAUAUCCUUGGGUCUCUAUCAAAAGUAGAGACAUGAGGGUAGUAGCAACGUUGUCAUCACCUUUAUGUUUUUCACUUAUCUUUGUGCACGAUAGACCACCAAGUUGUUCCAUGUCGUCAUCACCUUUCACUAUGGUACAUAAUCAGAAUUAUGUACCUAGGCAUUGUAGUUUGAUAUUUUUCAUUUUCUUUCAACAGGCUGACAUCUAGAAUGUGAUGGAUGCUAUUGGAUCAACACUUUAUGUUAUGCAAACAAUGGUUUCCUGUCUAUGCUCUGUACUCCCAAAGGUGAACUGGCUAUAGUUGUCAGGAGUUUAAUUUUUUCUAUUCCUCAAGUUGAUUAUAACCAAUUAACCACAAACUUCAAAUAGUAAGUUGUGAUGUUGAUAUCUGUCUUUUUUAUGUAUAUGUUUUUUUCCCUUGGUUCCUAUUAACAAGAGUUUGUGUUUAAUAAAAAAAAUGUGUUCAUUAAGUUCGAGAUUGUGAAUGCUUUGGAAAUGUUAAUUGUUCAUUUAAUGUACUAAUUAAUUGCAUUUUCGCUUAGUUAGUUAUCGUAGGUACAUUAUAGCAAGUGUUAUGGCAUAAUGCAAUAAUGCUAAUAAUGUUGGAUUGCAGU
rnacentral:lncRNA from 1 species